AUGGAGGAUGACUAUGCAGCAGCGUAUCUUCCUAUGGACAUUAUGUACAAGAUCCCUGGGCACAUCUCUGACCCAACCUCCCUUGCCCGCGUCGCUUCGUCCUGCAAGUUCUGGCGCGAUCUCAUCAAGGACCCGACCUUCCUUGGUCGCCUUAGCAGGCGGCACCGCGACCAUGGCUUCACCCCAUCUCUCCUUCUCGGCUUCUUCUACCAGGACAAUGAGAGGACUUCCCUAGACCUCUUGAAGUAUCAAAUUGACAAAACACGCUGUUUGGCACCAAGCUUCGUGCGGAUAUCUGAAUUGUCACAAUUUGUUGGCAGCAAAUCUGCUUGCAAUGCUAUCAAGCCACUAUCCCUUGAGACCUUCAUCCCAGGUCUUGGUGCAAGCCUCAACUUCUAUAAGCCCGUUGCAUCACAAGACAACUUCCUGGUCCUCCGUCGCCUGUCGAAAGACGCCAAUGGUCACAUGAAUGAUGAGUUAUGUGUCUGCAAUCCUCUCACUGGUGAAACCUUUGAGAUUCCUAGCCACUUGUAUGUACCUCCGGACCAUUAUGUCUUGUUUGUCACCAAAGAGGUCGACAUUGAUGGACGCAUAUCCCACUCCUUCCAACUGUCUGGCAUUUUUUGGAUGAAAAAGGCAAAGCGUUUCAUCAGUGUGUGCUGCAGCUCGAAGACUGGAAGAUGGAUGAUCUCUUAUGAAUUUCCUGAGCUAAUGCCUGGCCAUUACUUGGUGUCAUCCUCAGCCGCUGCUUCUGGCAGUGUCAUCCAUUGGCUCUGUGGUACUUUGGAACAAAUGUCGCUCACCCACGUUGCCACACUGCAUAUUGAAAAUAUGGGGCUGUCAUACCUGGAGCUCCCACCUGAAGCAAAUCACGUCAAGAUACCAGUGCUGGCGAAUUCAGCUGAUGGGGGGAUUUUAUUGCUCUUCGUGCAAGGCCUUCAGAUGUCACUCUGGAAACACAUCAGUAUGCUUGGCAGUGGCAGCAGCAGCUGGGUGCUUUCUGAAAGGAUUGACUUGAGAAGUUCCUUGCCUAAGCAGGUGGCAGCCUUGGGGAUCAGGGCAAAGGUCAGGUUGGAGAUGUUCCGAGGCAAGAGUGGGGCGGUGGUGCUCAGGGUUGUUGGAGAAGGCCUCUUUAUGUUCAGCCUCGACGAUAGGUCGAUGAGGAAGAUUGACAGUGCAAGUGUGACCAAGAAAUACUUCCUCUGCCCAUAUGAAAUUGAUUAG
rnacentral:rRNA from 1 species